UUCAUACAGAGGAAAUCUAACUAGUUACAGUAGCUCCCUAACAGGUCAUGUUAACGUUAGCCAACAUAGCUACUUAACUAUCAAUCCUGAAGCAUAACAAGUGUUUGCAAACCUCGUCAAGAUCCACGUAUGGCCCAGCUCCUUCGCGGAACAUCUCAUCACGAGGGUCUAAUCACAGCCCUGCUGCCUGCUGGCAACCAUCCGACUAACAUCAAUGUUGCUGCUCGUGAAGAUCUCCCUGGCUUUGUUGACGGUGGCGGCAGGGAGGGUGCGUGUGCGCCCCAGGAUCCAGGCAAAGUCCAUGUGGAACAGACGCAGGACAUCGGUGCAGGAAUAGAUCAGCGCUGAGUUCUCAUAGUCAGUUGAGAGGAUCCAGUAAGGAGAGUAGGGCAGGACUAUUAGAGACACAGAGAUGAGAAACAAACAGAUGAAGGCAAGACACACAGGAUCACAUUAGGUUUAUUUCACAGAUUAUAAUGUGAUUGCAGUCGUGAUGACUUCUUCAAACUGCAAGACAUGUAAUUAUCCCUCUCAAAUGGUGUCAAGAUCAACAUAGUGGGAUGAGAUGGCCUUCGGUUCUUAUUUUAUAUUAUUCUGUUUAUAUGGGCUAACAGGUCCAACUCAUGACAUCUGCUGACUUUCAAAAAACAACCCCUACCAUUUGAACUGUGGUGAGUGAUCUCUACUGCUCAGUUUGUCCUUAAAGGCUAGUAUCUUUCUCAUAUUUGUUGACCAUUGAAUGUCAUUUGUUAGCUGUGAAGUCUACACACAUGUUUAGUAGGGCACACUGUAGCAAAAACAUUUAGCAACGGAAAACAAACAAGCAAAAUCUCAUAGGACAAUUUCAGGUAGUAGCUACCUCCCUGUUUUAUUCAAUGGUUUAUAUAUACACUAGAUGACUAACAGGGGCCGCUGUUUUGAUGCCACCUUGCCCUCCAUCUUGGAACUACCCCACCGCUAUAAAAAAGACUUUAGAAGCUAUAGAAAGUAAUUUAUUAAUGUCUACAUUUGUUUUUGCCACGUUUAUUAUAUUACACCUUAAUGCAUAUUUGUUUAUAAUAUUAUGUGAGCAUGAAAAUAAAAAUAUAAAAUAUA